AGUGAACGCUGGCGGUAGGCCUAACACAUGCAAGUCGAACGGCAGCACAGGAGAGCUUGCUCUCUGGGUGGCGAGUGGCGGACGGGUGAGGAAUACAUCGGAAUCUACUCUGUCGUGGGGGAUAACGUAGGGAAACUUACGCUAAUAACGCAUAAGACCUACGGGUGAAAGCAGGGGAUCUUCGGACCUUGCGCGAUUGAAUGAGCCGAUGUCGGAUUAGCUAGUUGGCGGGGUAAAGGCCCACCAAGGCGACGGUCCGUAGCUGGUCUGAGAGGAUGAUCAGCCACACUGGAACUGAGACACGGUCCAGACUCCUACGGGAGGCAGCAGUGGGGAAUAUUGGACAAUGGGCGCAAGCCUGAUCCAGCCAUACCGCGUGGGUGAAGAAGGCCUUCGGGUUGUAAAGCCCUUUUGUUGGGAAAGAAAUCCAGCUGGUUAAUACCCGGUUGGGAUGACGGUACCCAAAGAAUAAGCACCGGCUAACUUCGUGCCAGCCGCCGCCGUAA
rnacentral:rRNA from 1 species